GAUGAACGCUGGCGGCGUGCCUAAUACAUGCAAGUCGAGCGAACAGACGAUGAGCUUGCUCCUCUGACGUUAGCGGCGGACGGGUGAGUAACACGUGGAUAACCUACCUAUAAGACUGGGAUAACUUCGGGAAACCGGAGCUAAUACCGGAUAAUAUAUUGAACCGCAUGGUUCAAUAGUGAAAGACGGUUUUGGUGUAAGUUAUAGAUGGUUCCGGGCCGCAUUAGCUAGUUGGUAAGGUAACGGCUUACCAAGGCAAGGAUGCGUAGCCGACCUGAGAGGGUGAUCGGCCACACUGGAACUGGAACACGGUCCAGACUCCUACGGGAGGCAGCAGUAGGGAAUCUUCCGCAAUGGGCGAAAGCCUGACGGAGCAACGCCGCGUGAGUUAUGAAGGUCUUCGGAUCGUAAAGCUCUGUUUUGAGGGAAGAACCAAUGUGUAAGUAACUAUGCCCGUCUUGACGGUACCGAAUCAGAAAGCCACGGCUAACUACGUG
rnacentral:rRNA from 1 species